UAUGUCAAGCACUUUGUAACCUUGUAUGGAUAAGUGCUAUGAUAUUUAUAUUAUAAUUGGUAUUAUUAUACAUUAUCCUUGAAGGUGACAGUAAUUUGGAAGCAAGGUGAUAAUGGUGAGGCCAGCAGGCGAGCUCAGAGCCAAUUGUUGACAUGACAUCCUUGACUUGAUGUGGCACAAAUCCAGCGCACCCUCUCUGAGGGGGCGGCGAUUUAAUCCAGCCCAUGUGUGGCCCCUCACCUGCAGCCUCACAACUCACCUGUUGAGCACUGAAGCUCUUCUGUAAACCCACUCGUGCCACCAUCGGUGCUCACGUAGCACUUUAUAAAGAAGCUAACCUGCCUAGAUUUUGACAGUACAGUUGAUGUAGGGACUUUGAGAAAGAGUUAUUUGUGUUUUAGGUGCUUCCUGUUGCUAGCUGCUGCAGCUAGUCAGCCACCUCUCUUGUUGUCUACAGGACUUACAGUCUACCAAGAUGUGAUGCUUCACCAAGUUGAGAGGAAAUGUUCUGGAAGACAUGGCAGCAGGAGGUCACGCCAAACUUGGUGCCCCCGGAGUUGCCUGGAGGACCUUUAGAAGUCAGGGCCAUCUUUCUUCAGAUCGCAGGCCGGGUGUUUAAAAGAAGAGGCAGAGUGCAAUAUCCAAAUCUGUUUCCCACUGGUGAUGUGGUUAAGAGGAAGAGUGGCCUUAAUGAGAUUUCCUGUGUAAGAAUGGAUCAGAGAAGUCUUGGCCGGAAAUUACAAAGCAGGAGAUGAGUGGAGAGUACGACAUCUGUGGGGAAUUAUCCAUCUCUGCCGAGACAGAAAAGCCUUGGAGGACCAUAAAGUCAGAGACCCAUCCAUGGAGGAGGCUGUUGGAAAAUCCCCCACCCAACAAAUGGUUCAGUCCAUCCCCACCUGUCUACAAGUCUACAAAACCUUUUUGCCAGGCUCUUUGGCCUGGGAACAUUUGCCUUUCUCUGAAAGUCCAACUGAGUUUUUGUGUGAGGAAAACAAAAGAUGUAGACAUUGUUUGUCAAACAAAUCCACAUCUAAAUGUGAAAAUCAGAAACAAACAGCAAAAAACAACCUGGAAAUCAGAUCACAAGUCAAGAACUUACCAAUGACCUCAUCUCCUGUUUGUCAAACUAACACAGAUAACUUUUGGCUGCAAUUGUCAUUUUCUCUUCCCCCGACUGCUCUCCACUUGAUCAGCUGUAACGUAAGUUUGUUAGUGACUUCGUACUGCUGCUACAUCCAAGGACCAAAUUAAAAUAUCAAAUUCUUGACAGA